rnacentral:rRNA from 1 species
GGGAGGUAGUGACAAUAAAUAACAAUACGGGGCUCUUUUGGGUCUCGUAAUUGGAAUGAGUACAAUUUAAAUCUCUUAACGAGGAACAAUUGGAGGGCAAGUCUGGUGCCAGCAGCCGCGGUAAUUCCAGCUCCAAUAGCGUAUAUUAAAGUUGUUGCAGUUAAAAAGCUCGUAGUUGAAUUUCGGGGUCAGUAGGUUGGUCGUGCCUAUGGUAUGUACUGGCUUUACUGAUUCCUCCUUCUUGAAGAACUGUAAUGUCAUUAAUUUGGUGUUGCAGGGAAACAGGACUGUUACUUUGAAAAAUUAGAGUGUUUAAAGCAGGCUAACGCUUGAAUACAUUAGCAUGGAAUAAUGAAAUAGGACGUUUGAUCCUAUUUUGUUGGUUUCUAGGAUUGACGUAAUGAUUAAUAGGGAUAGUUGGGG